GGUUGAGCGUUAUCUAAGGAGCUGCCCCGCCCCACCCCUCUCACUCCCUCCCUUAACCCGCCUCCCUUGCCUGUCCCUGCCCAGGCCCCGCCCAACCCCACCUGGCCCCGCCCAGGUCCCCGCCCUUUCCGCCGCCGAGCCACUUCCGGGACCUCAAGCACGCACAGCCACGGUAUUUGAGGAAUGCACAUCUGGACAGAAGAGGGCACCAGCCGCAGAAGUCAUACAAGGCCCUGGACCAAGAGGCUCAAGUGGAAAAAACAUGAGUAAACUUGCUCCGAAGCCCUGUGAAACAUCCCAAGCCCUGAGGACAUCCAGAAAUAGCUUGGGAAAUUUUAAGCAGACAAGAGGAACAUGAAGGCUAAGGACAUGUCAAGCAGGUUAUUCUACAUUAUUCCAGAUACUUCACAGUAUUUACUUUAUGUUUUCCAAAUAAAUGUAUGACCAGUGAGAGAAAUGAAUACAUACAUUCUACAAAGAAGAAAAUGGGAUACCUCUAGUCAACUCCCCAUUAUAACAGCCACACCAGGAAACAGAAAACCCAAAACACUGUCUAGACAAAUGUGAAGGAAUUUAUUUCCAGCCGCUGGCUUGAGAUGUUUCGUGUUCACUUUCAGUUAGAACUGAAGUAUAUACUCACUCUUACCUCUAAAGAGCGUUCAUUUGUUUCUGCUUGCCUAUGCUUCAUUUAGAAAACCCAACAAUUCCAAAAACCUCAGUGCAAAUUAUUGUCAUUUAAAAUGUUAACUCAUUUUACCUAUUCU